rnacentral:rRNA from 1 species
UACGGAGGGUGCAAGCGUUAUCCGGAUUCACUGGGUUUAAAGGGUGCGUAGGCGGGCAGGUAAGUCAGUGGUGAAAUCUCCGAGCUUAACUCGGAAACUGCCUUUGAUACUAUCUGUCUUGAGUAUUGUGGAGGUAAGUGGAAUAUGUCAUGUAGCGGUGAAAUGCUUAGAGAUGACAUAGAACACCCAUUGCGAAGGCAGCUUACUACGCAUAUAUUGACGCUGAGGCACGAAAGCGUGGGGAGCAAACAGG